rfam:Salmo salar isolate Sally breed double haploid chromosome ssa21, whole genome shotgun sequence.
AGCCGUCCGAUGUAAGUCGCUCUGGAUAAGAGCGUCUGCUAAAUGACGUAAA